GGUUGUGCCUUUGGUCGAGUCGUCACAGGACGUUUGUAUCCUGGCUCAGGAUGAACGCUGGCGGCGUGCUUAACACAUGCAAGUCGAACGGACCCAUAUUGAAACCUAGUGAUAGUAUGGGUUAGUGGCGGACGGUGAGUAACGCGUGGGCAACCUGCCUUACACAGGGGGAUAACACUUAGAAAUAGGUGCUAAAACCGCAUAAGCGCACAGCUUCGCAUGAAGCGGUGUGAAAACUCCGGUGGUGUAAGAUGGACCCGCGUCUGAUUAGCUUGUUGCGGGGUAACGGCCCACCAAGGCGACGAUCAGUAGCCGGCCUGAGAGGGCGGACGGCCACGUUGGGACUGAGACACGGCCCAGACUCCUACGGGAGGCAGCAGUGGGGAAUAUUGCACAAUGGGGGAAACCCUGAUGCAGCGACGCCGCGUGAGUGAAGAAGUAAUUCGUUACGUAAAGCUCUAUCAGCAGGGAAGAAAAUGACGGUACCUGAGUAAGAAGCCCCGGCUAACUACGUG
rnacentral:rRNA from 1 species